CAGUAGCCACGGUAAUACGUAGGUCCCGAGCGUUGUCCGGAUUUAUUGGGCGUAAAGCGAGCGCAGGCGGUUAGAUAAGUCUGAAGUUAAAGGCUGUGGCUUAACCAUAGUACGCUUUGGAAACUGUUUAACUUGAGUGCAAGAGGGGAGAGUGGAAUUCCAUGUGUAGCGGUGAAAUGCGUAGAUAUAUGGAGGAACACCGGUGGCGAAAGCGGCUCUCUGGUCUGUAACUGACGCUGAGGCUCGAAAGCGUGGGGAGCAAACAGGAUUAGAUACCCCUGUAGUCCCUGUCUCUUAUACC
rnacentral:rRNA from 1 species